rnacentral:rRNA from 1 species
GCAGCCUGAUGGAGCGACACCGCGUGAGUGAAGAAGGGUUUCGGCUCGUAAAGCUCUGUUGUUGAAGAAGAACGUGCGUGAGAGUAACUGUUCAUGCAGUGACGGUAUUCAACCAGAAAGUCACGGCUAACUACGUGCCAGCAGCCGCGGUAAUACGUAGGUGGCAAGCGUUAUCCGGAUUUAUUGGGCGUAAAGCGAGCGCAGGCGGUUUUCUAAGUCUGAUGUGAAAGCCUUCGGCUUAACCGAAGAAGGGCAUCGGAAACUGGAUGACUUGAGUGCAGAAGAGGGCAGUGGAACUCCAUGUGUAGCGGUGAAAUC